UACGUAGGGUGCAAGCGUUAUCCGGAAUUAUUGGGCGUAAAGGGCUCGUAGGCGGUUUGUCGCGUCGGGAGUGAAAACCAGGUGCUUAACACCUGGCUUGCUUUCGAUACGGGCAGACUAGAGGUAUUCAGGGGAGAACGGAAUUCCUGGUGUAGCGGUGAAAUGCGCAGAUAUCAGGAGGAACACCGGUGGCGAAGGCGGUUCUCUGGGAAUGACCUGACGCUGAGGAGCGAAAGUGUGGGGAGCGAACAGG
rnacentral:rRNA from 1 species